rnacentral:rRNA from 1 species
AAGAGAACCGUAACACAGGUGCUGCAUGGCUGUCGUCAGCUCGUGUCGUGAGAUGUGGGUUAAGUCCCGCAACGAGCGCAACCCUUGUCAUUAGUUGCUACAUUUAGUUGGGCACUCUAAUGAGACUGCCGGUAACAAACCGGAGGAAGGUGGGGAUGACGUCAAGUCCUCAUGGCCCUUAUAGGUAGGGCUACACACGUCAUACAAUGGAUGGUACAAAGGGUCGCCAACCCGCGAGGGGGGAGCCAAUCCCAUAAAACCAUUCGUAGUCCGGAUCGCAGUCUGCAACUCGACUGCGUGAAGUCGGAAUCGCUAGUAAUCGUGGAUCAGAAUGUCACGGUGAAUACGUUCCCGGGUCUU